rnacentral:rRNA from 1 species
GAUGAACGCUGGCGGCGUGCCUAAUACAUGCAAGUCGAGCGAACAGACGAGGAGCUUGCUCCUCUGACGUUAGCGGCGGACGGGUGAGUAACACGUGGAUAACCUACCUAUAAGACUGGGAUAACUUCGGGAAACCGGAGCUAAUACCGGAUAAUAUAUUGAACCGCAUGGUUCAAUAGUGAAAGGCGGUUUUGCUGUCACUUAUAGAUGGAUCCGCGCCGCAUUAGCUAGUUGGUAAGGUAACGGCCUACCAAGGCAACGAUGCGUAGCCGACCUGAGAGGGUGAUCGGCCACACUGGAACUGAGACACGGUCCAGACUCCUACGGGAGGCAGCAGUAGGGAAUCUUCCGCAAUGGGCGAAAGCUUGACGGAGCAACGCCGCGUGAGUGAUGAAGGUCUUCGGAUCGUAAAACUCUUUUAUUAGGGAAGAACAAAUGUGUAAGUAACUAUGCACGUCUUGACGGUACCUAAUCAGAAAGCCACGGCUAACUACGUG